UACGAAGGGGGCUAGCGUUGCUCGGAAUCACUGGGCGUAAAGCGCACGUAGGCGGCUUCUUAAGUCAGGGGGUGAAAUCCUGGAGCUCAACUCCAGAACUGCCUUUGAUACUGAGAAGCUUGAGUCCGGGAGAGGUGAGUGGAACUGCGAGUGUAGAGGUGAAAUUCGUAGAUAUUCGCAAGAACACCAGUGGCGAAGGCGGCUCACUGGCCCGAUACUGACGCUGAGGCACGAAAGCGUGGGGAGCAAACAGGG
rnacentral:rRNA from 1 species